GACAGAGGGCGCGAACGUUGCUCGAUGUUACUGGGCCUAAAGGGCACGUAGGCGGCCCGAUUAGUGGGGGGUGAAAUCCCUCGGCUUAACCGAGGAAUUGCUCUCCAUACGGUCGGGCUUGAGGACCGGAGAGGGAAGCGGAACGCUACGUGUAGCGGUGAAAUGCGUUGAUACGUAGUGGAACGCCAGCGGCGAAGGCGGCUUCCUGGUCGGUUUCUGACGCUGAGGUGCGAAAGCGUGGGGAGCGAACGGGAUUAGAUACCCCCGUA
rnacentral:rRNA from 1 species